rnacentral:miRNA from 1 species
AAUGUAUCUAUCUGUCAAUAGUAA